rnacentral:rRNA from 1 species
UACGUAGGGGCAAGCGUUGUCCGGAAUCAUUGGGCGUAAAGCGCGUGUAGGCGGCUGAGUAAGUCUGCUCUGAAAGCCCGGGGCUCAACCCCGGGAGGCGGGUGGAUACUGCUCAGCUCGAGUCCGGAAGAGGCGAGUGGAAUUCCUGGUGUAGCGGUGAAAUGCGCAGAUAUAGGAAGAACACCCGUGGCGAAAGCGGCUCUCUGGAACGGUACUGACGCUGAGACGCGAAAGCGUGGGGAGCGAACAGGAUUAGAU